rnacentral:rRNA from 1 species
UGGUGGAGCGAUUUGUCUGGUUAAUUCCGAUAACGAACGAGACUCUAGCCUGCUAACUAGUACGCCGAUCUCUCGUCGGCGCGUACUUCUUAGAGGGACAAGUAGCGUGUAGCUACACGAAAUUGAGCAAUAACA